rnacentral:rRNA from 1 species
GAUGAACGCUGGCGGCGUGCCUAAUACAUGCAAGUCGAGCGAGCAGACGAGGAGCUUGCUCCUCUGACGUUAGCGGCGGACGGGUGAGUAACACGUGGAUAACCUACCUAUAAGACUGGGAUAACUUCGGGAAACCGGAGCUAAUACCGGAUAAUAUAUUGAACCGCAUGGUUCAAUAGUGAAAGACGGUUUUGCUGUCACUUAUAGAUGGAUCCGCGCCGCAUUAGCUAGUUGGUAAGGUAACGGCUUACCAAGGCAACGAUGCGUAGCCGACCUGAGAGGGUGAUCGGCCACCCUGGAACUGAGACACGGUCCAGACUCCUACGGGAGGCAGCAGUAGGGAAUCUUCCGCAAUGGGCGAAAGCCUGACGGAGCAACGCCGCGUGAGUGAUGAAGGUCUUCGGAUCGUAAAACUCUGUUAUUAGGGAAGAACAAAUGUGUAAGUAACUAUGCACGUCUUGACGGUACCUAAUCAGAAAGCCACGGCUAACUACGUG